rnacentral:other from 1 species
AAUUCCCUGAGUCUCACGUGAUGUGUUUCAUGUCGCAGACCUCACAAGCAUAAUAAAGGAUUCUUGCCGGAAUGUGGUGUGCAUGCCCAAAUUUUAUUGGGAAGCCUGAAACAAACUUAAUAGAAUCCACCUAGUUAACCUAGGUCUUGGUGAUGUGUCUCACACACGGCUACUUGGGGUGUUU